rnacentral:rRNA from 1 species
UACGGGGGGAGCAAGCGUUGUUCGGAUUUACUGGGCGUAAAGGGCGCGUAGGCGGUCAGCACAAGUCAGUUGUGACAUCUCCGGGCUUAACUCGGAAAGGUCAACUGAUACUGUGCGACUAGAGUGCGGAAGGGGCAACUGGAAUUCUUGGUGUAGCGGUGAAAUGCGUAGAUAUCAGGAGGAACACCGGUGGCGAAGGCGCACACCUGGCCCGAUACUGACGCUGAGGCGCGAAAGCUAGGGGAGCAAACGGG